rnacentral:rRNA from 1 species
GUGAGACAGGUGCUGCAUGGCUGUCGUCAGCUCGUGUUGUGAAAUGUUGGGUUAAGUCCCGCAACGAGCGCAACCCUUAUCCUUUGUUGCCAGCGGUCCGGCCGGGAACUCAAAGGAGACUGCCAGUGAUAAACUGGAGGAAGGUGGGGAUGACGUCAAGUCAUCAUGGCCCUUACGACCAGGGCUACACACGUGCUACAAUGGCGCAUACACAGAGAAGCGACCUCGC